GCUUACGGCCAUACCACCCUGAGCACGCCCGAUCUCGUCUGAUCUCGGAAGCUAAGCAGAGUCGGGCCUGGUUAGUACAUGGAUGGGAGACCGCCUGGGAAUACCAGGUGCUGUAAGAU
rnacentral:rRNA from 1 species